AGAACGAACGCUGGCGGCAGGCCUAAUACAUGCAAGUCGAACGCACUCUUCGGAGUGAGUGGCAGACGGGUGAGUAACGCGUGGAAACCUUCCCAAUAGUACGGAAUAACUCCGGGAAACCGGUGCUAAUACCGUAUAAGCCCUUCGGGGGAAAGAUUUAUCGCUAUUGGAUGGGUCCGCGUCGGAUUAGCUUGUUGGUAGGGUAAUGGCCUACCAAGGCGACGAUCCGUAGCUGGUCUGAGAGGAUGAUCAGCCACACUGGGACUGAGACACGGCCCCAGACUCCUACGGGAGGCAGCAGUAGGGAAUCUUGGACAAUGGGCGAAAGCCUGAUCCAGCCAUGCCGCGUGAGUGAAGAAGGCCUUAGGGUUGUAAAGCUCUUUUGGCGGGGACGAGUAAUGACGGUACCGCAGAAUAAGCCCGGCUAACUUCGUGCCAGCAGCCGC
rnacentral:rRNA from 1 species